GAUGAACGCUAGCGGCAGGCUUAAUACAUGCAAGUCGAGGGACAGCACAGGUAGCAAUACUGGGUGGUAACCGGCAAACGGGUGCGGAACACGUACACAACCUUCCUUUAAGUGGGGGAUAGCCCAGAGAAAUUUGGAUUAAUACCCCGUAAUAUAGUUGAAUGGCAUCAUUUGAUUAUUAUAGCUACGGCGCUUAAUGAUGGGCGUGCGGCUGAUUAGAUAGUUGGCGGGGUAACAGCCCACCAAGUCUACGAUCAGUAGCUGAUGCGAGAGAAUGAUCAGCCACACGGGCACUGAGACACGGGCCCGACUCCUACGGGAGGCAGCAGUAAGGAAUAUUGGUCAAUGGACGCAAGUCUGAACCAGCCAUGCCGUGUGAAGGAUUAAGGUCCUCUGGAUUGUAAACUUCUUUUAUUUGGGACGAAAAAGGGCCUUUCUAGGUCAACUGACGGUACCAGAUGAAUAAGCACCGGCUAACUCCGUGCCAGCCGCCGCCGUAAGAC
rnacentral:rRNA from 1 species